UUGGUAUGUUUACGAGAUUAAUUUGAUAGGUCAUUUUUUUUUUUAAACAGUGAUUAAAAAUAUCUUAGAAUUGUUUUAUUUUUUUAUUCUAGUCGUUAUUUUGUUUUUCUUGUAUGUGGUAAAUUGUUUUUACCGAGAAGAACUCGAAAGCUCUGUAACCAUUUCCGACAACAGCGAAACUUCUCAUGCUUCACCGAGCAGCAUUUCAAUAGUUUAAAAUUGAAACCUUAAAAUCUCGAUCAACGGCUUUGAAGAUAAAUAUAGAUAAUAUUAGUUUACACAAUA